CCUACGGGAGGCUGCAGUGGGGAAUAUUGGGCAAUGGGCGCAAGCCUGACCCAGCAACGCCGCGUGAAGGAAGAAGGCUUUCGGGUUGUAAAAUUCUUUUGACAGGGAAGAGCAGAAGGCGGUACCUGUCGAAUAAGCCACGGCUAAAUACGUGCCAGCAGCCGCGGUAAUACGUAGGUUGCAAGCGAUGUCCGGAUUUACUGGGUGUAAAGGGCGUGUAGCCGGGCUGACAAGUGAGAUGUGAAAUCCGGGGGCUCAACCCCCGACCCGCAGUUGAAACUGUUGGUCUUGAGUAUCGGAGAGGUAGGCGGAAUGCCUAGUGUAGCGGUGAAAUGCGUAGAUAUUAGGAGGAACACCAGUGGCGAAGGCGGCCUGCUGGACGACAACUGACGGUGAGGCGCGAAAGCGUGGGGAGCAAACAGGAUUAGAUACCCUUGUAGUC
rnacentral:rRNA from 1 species